rnacentral:rRNA from 1 species
GACGAACGCUUGCGGCGUGCUUAACACAUGCAAGUCGAACGGAAAGGCCCUGCUUUUGUGGGGUGCUCGAGUGGCGAACGGGUGAGUAACACGUGAGUAACCUGCCCUUGACUUUGGGAUAACUUCAGGAAACUGGGGCUAAUACCGGAUAGGAGCUCCUGCUGCAUGGUGGGGGUUGGAAAGUUUCGGCGGUUGGGGAUGGACUCGCGGCUUAUCAGCUUGUUGGUGGGGUAGUGGCUUACCAAGGCUUUGACGGGUAGCCGGCCUGAGAGGGUGACCGGCCACAUUGGGACUGAGAUACGGCCCAGACUCCUACGGGAGGCAGCAGUGGGGAAUAUUGCACAAUGGGCGGAAGCCUGAUGCAGCAACGCCGCGUGCGGGAUGACGGCCUUCGGGUUGUAAACCGCUUUCGCCUGUGACGAAGCGUGAGUGACGGUAAUGGGUAAAGAAGCACCGGCUAACUACGUGCCAGCAGCCGCGGUGAUACGUAGGGUGCGAGCGUUGUCCGGAUUUAUUGGGCGUAAAGGGCUCGUAGGUGGUUGAUCGCGUCGGAAGUGUAAUCUUGGGGCUUAACCCUGAGCGUGCUUUCGAUACGGGUUGACUUGAGGAAGGUAGGGGAGAAUGGAAUUCCUGGUGGAGCGGUGGAAUGCGCAGAUAUCAGGAGGAACACCAGUGGCGAAGGCGGUUCUCUGGGCCUUUCCUGACGCUGAGGAGCGAAAGCGUGGGGAGCGAACAGGCUUAGAUACCCUGGUAGUCCACGCUGUAAACGGUGGGUACUAGGUGUGGGGUCCAUUCCACGGGUUCCGUGCCGUAGCUAACGCUUUAAGUACCCCGCCUGGGGAGUACGGCCGCAAGGCUAAAACUCAAAGGAGUUGACGGGGCCCCGCACAAGCGGCGGAGCAUGCGGAUUAAUUCGAUGCAACGCGUAGAACCUUACCUGGGUUUGACAUGGAUCGGGAGUGCUCAGAGAUGGGUGUGCCUCUUUUGGGGUCGGUUCACAGGUGGUGCAUGCCUGUCGUCAGCUCGUGUCGUGAGAUGUUGGGUUAAGUCCCGCAACGAGCGCAACCCUUGUUCACUGUUGCCAGCACGUUAUGGUGGGGACUCAGUGGAGACCGCCGGGGUCAACUCGGAGGAAGGUGGGGAUGACGUCAAGUCCUCAUGCCCCUUAUGUCCAGGGCUUCACGCAUGCUACAAUGGCUGGUACAGAGAGUGGCGAGCCUGUGAGGGUGAGCGAAUCUCGGAAAGCCGGUCUCAGUUCGGAUUGGGGUCUGCAACUCGACCUCAUGAAGUCGGAGUCGCUAGUAAUCGCAGAUCAGCAACGCUGCGGUGAAUACGUUCCCGGGGCU